rnacentral:rRNA from 1 species
GGGCUCGCAGGCGGUUUCUUAAGUCUGAUGUGAAAGCCCCCGGCUCAACCGGGGAGGGUCAUUGGAAACUGGGAAACUUGAGUGCAGAAGAGGAGAGUGGAAUUCCACGUGUAGCGGUGAAAUGCGUAGAGAUGUGGAGGAACACCAGUGGCGAAGGCGACUCUCUGGUCUGUAACUGACGCUGAGGAGCGAAAGCGUGGGGAGCGAACAGGAUUAGAUACCCUGGUAGUCCACGCCGUAAACGAUGAGUGCUAAGUGUUAGGGGGUUUCCGCCCCUUAGUGCUGCAGCUAACGCAUUAAGCACUCCGCCUGGGGAGUACGGUCGCAAGACUGAAACUCAAAGGAAUUGACGGGGGCCCGCACAAGCGGUGGAGCAUGUGGUUUAAUUCGAAGCAACGCGAAGAACCUUACCAGGUCUUGACAUCCUCUGACAACCCUAGAGAUAGGGCUUUCCCUUCGGGGACAGAGUGACAGGUGGUGCAUGGUUGUCGUCAGCUCGUGUCGUGAGAUGUUGGGUUAAGUCCCGCAACGAGCGCAACCCUUGAUCUUAGUUGCCAGCAUUCAGUUGGGCACUCUGAGGUGACUGCCGGUGACAAACCGGAGGAAGGUGGGGAUGACGUCAAAUCAUCAUGCCCCUUAUGACCUGGGCUACACACGUGCUACAAUGGACAGAAC